rnacentral:rRNA from 1 species
UACAGAGGGUGCGAGCGUUAAUCGGAGUUACUGGGCGUAAAGGGCGCGUAGGCGGUGAGAUGUGUGUGAUGUGAAAGCCCCGGGCUUAACCUGGGAAGUGCAUCGCAAACUAUCUGACUGGAGUAUAUGAGAGGGUGGCGGAAUUUCCGGUGUAGCGGUGAAAUGCGUAGAGAUCGGAAGGAACGUCGAUGGCGAAGGCAGCCACCUGGCAUAAUACUGACGCUGAGGCGCGAAAGCGUGGGGAGCGAACAGG